ACGUUUGAGACCCAGCGUCUCUAGAUCUCGUAUUUGAAUUUGUGGCGCUUGGUGUCCGCGAGUUGCCGAAUGAAGCUGAGCGUCUCAGUGGAACCAGGGAUCUCAGGGAGAACCUUUUUGUGAUGAAAACGAGAUGAAACUAUGGAAGAACCAGAGAAGCAUCAGCCUGAGAAGGACUCAACUGAUUAUUGCUGGCUUUGAAGACAGGAAGGAGCCAUGAGCCAGGGAAUGCUGGUGACCUCUGGAAGCUGGACCCCUUCAGAAAGGAAUGCAGCACUGUGACACCUUGAUCUCGCAGCAGUAGAAAACAGAUGAAUACACCUAGAUU
rnacentral:lncRNA from 1 species